GGGUGCGAUCAUACCAGCACUAAUACACUGGAUCCCAUCAGAACUCCGAAGUUAAACGUGCUUGGGCGAGAGUAGUACUAAGAUGGGUGACCUCUUGGGAAGUCAUCGUGUUGCACCCC
rnacentral:rRNA from 1 species